UGAAAGCCCCCGGCUCAACCGGGGAGGGUCAUUGGAAACUGGGAAACUUGAGUGCAGAAGAGGAGAGUGGAAUUCCACGUGUAGCGGUGAAAUGCGUAGAGAUGUGGAGGAACACCAGUGGCGAAGGCGACUCUCUGGUCUGUAACUGACGCUGAGGAGCGAAAGCGUGGGGAGCGAACAGGAUUAGAUACCCUGGUAGUCCACGCCGUAAACGAUGAGUGCUAAGUGUUAGGGGGUUUCCGCCCCUUAGUGCUGCAGCUAACGCAUUAAGCACUCCGCCUGGGGAGUACGGUCGCAAGACUGAAACUCAAAGGAAUUGACGGGGGCCCGCACAAGCGGUGGAGCAUGUGGUUUAAUUCGAAGCAACGCGAAGAACCUUACCAGGUCUUGACAUCCUCUGACAACCCUAGAGAUAGGGCUUUCCCUUCGGGGACAGAGUGACAGGUGGUGCAUGGUUGUCGUCAGCUCGUGUCGUGAGAUGUUGGGUUAAGUCCCGCAACGAGCGCAACCCUUGAUCUUAGUUGCCAGCAUUCAGUUGGGCACUCUAAGGUGACUGCCGGUGACAAACCGGAGGAAGGUGGGGAUGACGUCAAAUCAUCAUGCCCCUUAUGACCUGGGCUACACACGUGCUACAAUGGACAGAACAAAGGGCUGCAAGACCGCAAGGUUUAGCCAAUCCCAUAAAUCUGUUCUCAGUUCGGAUCGCAGUCUGCAACUCGA
rnacentral:rRNA from 1 species